GAUGAACGCUGGCGGCGUGCCUAAUACAUGCAAGUCGAGCGAACAGACGAGGAGCUUGCUCCUCUGACGUUAGCGGCGGACGGGUGAGUAACACGUGGAUAACCUGCCUAUAAGACUGGGAUAACUUCGGGAAACCGGAGCUAAUACCGGAUAAUAUAUUGAACCGCAUGGUUCAAUAGUGAAAGACGGUUUUGCUGUCACUUAUAGAUGGAUCCGCGCCGCACUAGCUAGUUGGUAAGGUAACGGCUUACCAAGGCAACGAUGCGUAGCCGACCUGAGAGGGUGAUCGGCCACACUGGAACUGAGACACGGUCCAGACUCCUACGGGAGGCAGCAGUAGGGAAUCUUCCGCAAUGGGCGAAAGCCUGACGGAGCAACGCCGCGUGAGUGAUGAAGGUCUUCGGAUCGUAAAACUCUGUUAUUAGGGAAGAACAAAUGUGUAAGUAACUAUGCACGUCUUGACGGUACCUAAUCAGAAAGCCACGGCUAACUACGUG
rnacentral:rRNA from 1 species